CCUACGGGAGGCAGCAGUGAGGAAUAUUGGUCAAUGGGCGCGAGCCUGAACCAGCCAAGUCGCGUGAGGGAUGAAGGUUCUAUGGAUCGUAAACCUCUUUUAUAAGGGAAUAAAGUGUGGGACGUGUCCUAUUUUGUAUGUACCUUAUGAAUAAGGAUCGGCUAACUCUGUGCCAGCAGCCGCGGUAAUACGGGGGGUCCGAGCGUUAUCCGGUUGUAUUGGGUUUAAAGGGUGCGUAGGCGGCCUUUUAAGUAAGCGGUGAAAGUCUGUGGCUCAACCAUAGAAUUGCCGUUGAAACUGGGGGGCUUGAGUAUGUUUGAGGAAGGCGGAAUGCGUGGUGUAGCGGUGAAAUGCUUAGAUAUCACGCAGAACCCCGAUUGCGAAGGCGGCCUGCCAAGCCAUGACUGACGCUGAUGCACGAAAGCGUGGGGAUCAAACAGGAUUAGAUACCCGAGUAGUC
rnacentral:rRNA from 1 species